rnacentral:rRNA from 1 species
UCCAGACUCCUACGGGAGGCAGCAGUGGGGAAUAUUGCACAAUGGGCGAAAGCCUGAUGCAGCAACGCCGCGUGAAGGAAGAAGGGUUUCGGCUCGUAAACUUCUAUCAACAGGGACGAAAGAAAUGACGGUACCUGAAUAAGAAGCCCCGGCUAACUACGUGCCAGCAGCCGCGGUAAUACGUAGGGGGCAAGCGUUAUCCGGAUUUACUGGGUGUAAAGGGAGCGUAGACGGUUAUGUAAGUCUGGAGUGAAAGCCCGGGGCCCAACCCCGGGACUGCUUUGGAAACUGUGUAACUAGAGUACAGGAGGGGCAGGCGGAAUUCCUGGUGUAGCGGUGAAAUGCGUAGAUAUCAGGAGGAACACCGGCGGCGAAGGCGGCCUGCUGGACUGAAACUGACGUUGAGGCUCGAAAGCGUGGGGAGCAAACAGGAUUAGAUACCCCUGUAGGA